rnacentral:misc_RNA from 1 species
GGAAGUAAAAGUCGUAACAAGAUCUCCGUUGGUGAACCAGCGGAGGGAUCAUUACAGAGUUGCAAAACUCCCAAACCAUUGUGAACGUUACCUAUCCCGUUGCUUCGGCGGGCGGCCCGGGCCCCGCGCCCGGCGCCCCCCGGCCCCCCGUGGGCGCCCGCCGGAGGUAAACCAAACCCUUGAAUUGCAUGGCCUCUCUGAGUCUUCUGUACUGAAUAAGUCAAAACUUUCAACAACGGAUCUCUUGGUUCUG